AGAUUGAACGCUGGCGGCAUGCCUAACACAUGCAAGUCGAACGGGAGUAGCAAUACUCUAGUGGCGGACGGGUGAGGAAUACGCAGGAAUUUGCCCUUAAGUGGGGGAUAACCCGGGGAAACCCGGAUUAAUACCGCAUGACCUCGAAAGAGCAAAGUGGGGGAUCGCAAGACCUCACGCUUUUGGAGAAGCCUACGUCGGAUUAGCUAGUUGGUGAGGUAAUGGCUCACCAAGGCGACGAUCCGUAACUGGGUCUGAGAGGAUGAUCAGUCACACCGGAACUGAGACACGGUCCGGACUCCGUACGGAGCAGCAGGUAGGGAAUAGUU
rnacentral:rRNA from 1 species